UAACAUUGUUGAAAAGAGCAAAGUCCAGGUC
rnacentral:piRNA from 1 species